rnacentral:rRNA from 1 species
AGAGUUUGAUCAUGGCUCAGGACGAACGCUGGCGGCGUGCUUAACACAUGCAAGUCGAGCGGAAAGGCCCUUCGGGGUACUCGAGCGGCGAACGGGUGAGUAACACGUGAGCAACCUGCCCUCAGCUCCGGGAUAGCUACGGGAAACCGGAAUUAAUACCGGAUACGACUUCGGCCGACAUCGGCUGCGGUGGAAAGGAUUCCGGCUGAGGAUGGGCUCGCGGCCUAUCAGCUAGUUGGUGGAGUAACGGCCCACCAAGGCGACGACGGGUAGCCGGCCUGAGAGGGCGACCGGCCACACUGGGACUGAGACACGGCCCAGACUCCUACGGGAGGCAGCAGUGGGGAAUAUUGCGCAAUGGGCGAAAGCCUGACGCAGCGACGCCGCGUGGGGGAUGAAGGCCUUCGGGUUGUAAACCCCUUUCAGCAGGGACGAAGCGCAAGUGACGGUACCUGCAGAAGAAGCGCCGGCUAACUACGUGCCAGCAGCCGCGGUAAUACGUAGGGCGCAAGCGUUGUCCGGAAUUAUUGGGCGUAAAGAGCUCGUAGGCGGUUUGUUACGUCCGCUGUGAAAACCCAGGGCUUAACCCUGGGCUUGCAGUGGAUACGGGCAGACUAGAGGUAGGUAGGGGAGAAUGGAAUUCCCGGUGUAGCGGUGAAAUGCGCAGAUAUCGGGAGGAACACCGGUGGCGAAGGCGGUUCUCUGGGCCUUACCUGACGCUGAGGAGCGAAAGCGUGGGGAGCGAACAGGAUUAGAUACCCUAGUAGUCC